rnacentral:rRNA from 1 species
AUUGAACGCUGGCGGCAUGCCUUACACAUGCAAGUCGAACGGUACCGGGUCCUUCGGGAUGCCGACGAGUGGCGAACGGGUGAGUAAUAUAUCGGAACGUGCCCAGUAGUGGGGGAUAACUGCUCGAAAGAGCAGCUAAUACCGCAUACGACCUGAGGGUGAAAGGGGGGGACCGCAAGACCUCUCGCUAUUGGAGCGGCCGAUAUCAGAUUAGCUAGUUGGUGAGGUAAAGGCCUACCAAGGCAACGAUCUGUAGUUGGUCUGAGAGGACGACCAGCCACACUGGGACUGAGACACAGCCCAGACUCCUACGGGAGGCAGCAGUGGGGAAUUUUGGACAAUGGGCGCAAGCCUGAUCCAGCAAUGCCGCGUGCAGGAAGGAGGCCUUCGGGUUGUAAACUGCUUUUGUCAGGGAAGAAAUCUUCUGGGCUAAUACCCCGGGAGGAUGACGGUACCUGAAGAAUAAGCACCGGCUAACUACGUGCCAGCCGCCGCCGUAA